rfam:Helianthus annuus linkage group 16, whole genome shotgun sequence.
UCUCGGUGAUAAUAUCACAGAUGACGAGUCUGAUAUAUCCAUUCCAUUCAUUGUGAAGACGAAUCGAGGCAUUUGUCUGAGAGAU